rnacentral:lncRNA from 1 species
UUUAACAUGUGGUCUAAACAAAUAAUCCGCAUCUCUACGCAAUCAUCGCUCACAAAUCAUUUAAUUAGUGAUCAAGUAAUUAAAAGCAUUAAGCACAACAUUAAAAUCAACGCAUAAGAUAUAAAAGCACUAGAAUCUUAAAUCAACGAAAUAAAGGGUUCCAAAUAAAUUACGUUGUUCGCCCUAAAUUAAAUUUAGCUACUCAUGUUUAUAGAGGAAAAACAAGAUAAAUUCAUGGAAGACAUCACCCGGUUUAAUAGACGGAAUGUGAUUAAAUUUUUUUGAAACGUGAAUCUGCCAUCUUUUGUAUCAGUUUCUGCGCGUAUUGAUUUCACCAAUAAGCAGUCCGAUUUCUCCCAAUUUAUGUUCAACCGUCCCCUUCCAGAAUAGGUUCCAGCCGUCCACUUUUAUCUCCGUCGAGUUGCAGUCAAUUGGGUGUAUAUAAUAAUGUAAUUCCAGCAACUGAUUUCUGACCUUUUUUUAGUCCCCAAGCUGGUGCCAAUUCUUUUGUAUCUCUCCCUCCGAAGCUUCUCAAUUUCCCCGUGUGUGUUUUCUCCAAUUUCAGCAACAAAUCAGCCUUAAUGUUCUGGUCUUCUCCCCAAAGCAGCUCAAUUUCUGUGUAUUAAUCCCAGCUGCUGCCGUCUAUUUGUGUGUAUGUAAAUAUAACAAUUGCUGGCAGCUUCAAUUCCUCCUCUCGAUUUCCGUAUGNNNN